CAGAACUUCACAGGCUCUGGAAAUGCAAACACUUGUCGGAGCCAUCGGCAGCCGUGACUUCUCAGGAAUCUGGGAGAGGAGAGUGCAAACCGAUCAUUUGAGUUGACAGGAGAAAUACAACACAAUUCCGACUCUCAGACUUUUUAAUUAGUUCUCUCUGCUUGCUAGGGUUGGCCUUUAGCCUUAAUUGUGGAAGGAAUGGUGUUUGUCUCUUGUAAAUAAACUUCAGUCAAAAAGCAGAUAAGGGCUGGGUGCUGUGUCUUGCUCCUGUAAUCCCAGCAGUUUGGGAGGCCGAGGAGGGUGGAUCGUUGAGCUUCUGAGAUAGGGGGUCAUCUGUUACAGUCAUAGGCAUUAUCUUAACCUGGACAGUGGGGAAAAAUGGAGUAUCACCUACUGUAUAAGAGCUAGAUCAUAAUCUCCGAAGAGGUCAGGUGUCACGACGGGGUUGGCUCUGCCACUGAGCCUACCCUACGUGUGUCUGUCUUUAAUUUAGGAGGGGCCGUACGGCCCCCUCUUCAUGGGAUCUGGAGGAGGGACACGUGUUUGUCACUUUCUUCUGCAGGUAGGAGCGUCAGCACCAUGAAGUUGGGAACCCCCAGCCCCAGGUGGUGGGAAGGCUCGUGCUGGCUUCUGAGCUGCCCACAGUGACUGAGAAUGACGCAUGAAAACAGCAGCUGAAAAUGUCACCACCCACCUCCCCCACUUUCCAUGAAAAAAAAAAAAACAAAAACGAAACAUUGGCCCAGGGCAAUGCAGUCUGUGAGCAAAACGAAGCAGCAACCGUUUAUUUGUGGCCAGAGACAAAGUUUCCCUUGAAAUCAGUGUUGCUCAUGACCAUCUUUAUCCACUGUCCACAGACAAAUAGAUUCCUGAACGGGUCUCUGUGGCUAAAGCCCAUUCAGUUCUAUAGAGUCAGGCCCAACCUCACACCCCAGGGGUGAUGUGGCAGGAACGCUUUAUGAUAUGCCACUUAAAACCUGUCAACCCCAGGGUCCUCAUUUUUAAAGGGGAGAUCCUCCCCGCCCGGGCUGCCAUCCAGCAUGGGCAUGAAAUUCUGUGCAGAGCAGCGCUGUGCAUCAGUUACCCUGGACAGCAUCCCUUUAUCACUGCGACCUUCCGUCCUUCUCAAGGUCUCAUCUGACUAGUGGGAAUCGGGGCCGCUACCUCCGCAGCUCAGGGGAGCUGAGCCAGCUGUCCUUUGGUCCCUCCUCCCCGACAGGGACUCCCUGGCAAUCACUGACUUUGGCAUCAAUCACUAUCUUUAUGGAAAAUCAGAGGAACUCCUAUCAAUAAAAGUUAGGCCGGGGAUGUGGAAGUAUACAGCAACCUGACCAGCGUGGGCCUUCGUCAUAAAGGGUCACAUAAGUUAUUGAAAAGUUGUAAAUACAUGAUUCAGAGCCCAGCAUCCUCAGAGUUGGAAGAAGAGCCAGAAGGUCUUUGGUCCACCCUCA
rnacentral:lncRNA from 1 species